CGCAUCUGUGCAUGCAGCAUAUCAAUAAGCGGAGGAAAAGAAACUAACAAGGAUUCCCCUAGUAACGGCGAGUGAAGCGGGAAGAGCUCAAAUUUGAAAUCUUAAAGGGUUUCCCUUUACGAAUUGUAGUUUAAAGAAGUGUUUUCUGUUGAGGUUUUGGUAAAAGUUCUUUGGAAUAGGACAUCAUAGAGGGUGAGAAUCCCGUAUUUGACCUUUACUUUCAACUUUGUGAUACACUUUCAAAGAGUCAGAUUGUUUGGGAAUGCAGUCCAAAAUGGGUGGUAAAUUUCAUCUAAAGCUAAAUAUUGGCGAGAGACCGAUAGCGAACAAGUACCGUGAGGGAAAGAUGAAAAGAACUUUGAAAAGAGAGUUAAACAGUACGUGAAAUUGUCAAAAGGGAAGCGUUUGACACCAGUGUUGUUUUUCUGAAAAUCAAUUAAAGAACUGUUUAUGCUAAGCUGUUUAGACUUUAUCAGCUAACUGUUUAGUUUUGAGCUUUUCUUUAAUGCACUUUUCAGUUAACAAGUCAACAUCAAUUUCUUUUGCUGUAAAAAAGCUUGAGGAAGGUGGCUUGAGAUUCGUCUUAAGUGUUUAUAGCCUCUUGCCUAUGCAGUCGGAGAGAUUGAGGUCUGCAGCGUAGAUCCUUCGGGGCUAAAUGCAUUUGUGCUAAGUUAUAGCAUUUUAUAGACAACUUGUUGACUAUGAUUUGUCUUGUAGCUUACUCGCUUAUGUUAUUUUACCUACGCUUAGGAUGUUGAGUCAUCACACAUCUCU
rnacentral:rRNA from 1 species